UGGGUUGGCGCCUUCCCAACCAUUUGAUCUUGUUCAAAUGUUUUAAUCCCGACCUUCGCUUCUGAUUACCAAGCGUGUACACACGUUGACUGUGGUGCAUGAUGGAGCGCAUGCUUGUGGCCAUCAGAUCUGCCACCUCAAUUAAUGAGGGAGAUCUGAUGGCUCGUGUUUUUUCUAUUUUCUUUUUAUUUUCUAAUUUUCCUUUUAAUCCUCUUAUUUUAUUUAAUUCAUU
rnacentral:lncRNA from 1 species